rnacentral:rRNA from 1 species
GAUGAACGCUGGCGGCGUGCCUAAUACAUGCAAGUCGAGCGAAGCGGGGACGGGUGAGUAACACGUGGAUAACCUCCUAUAAACUGGGAUAACUUCGGGAAACCGUCGCUCAACCGGAUCCUUAUAGAUUGAUCCGCGCGGCAUUAGCAAGUGGGUAGGGUAACGGCGUACCAAGGCAACGAGGCAUAGCCGACCUGAGAGGGUGAUCGGCCACACUGGAACGGAGACACGGUCCAGACUCCUACGGGAGGCAGCAGUAGGGAAUCUUCCGCAAUGGGCGAAAGCCUGACGGAGCAACGCCGCGUGAGUGAUGAAGGUCUUCGGAUCGUAAAACUCUGUUAUUAGGGAAGCGGUACCUAAUCAGAAAGCCACGGCUAACUACGUGCCAGCAGCCGCGGUAAUUC